GCCCUAGUAGCUUAGCACCUAAAGCGCCGGUCUUGUAAU
rnacentral:tRNA from 1 species